rnacentral:rRNA from 1 species
AUUGAACGCUGGCGGCAGGCCUAACACAUGCAAGUCGAACGAGGGGCGGACGGGUGAGUAAUGUCUGGGAAACUGCCUGAUGGAGGGGGAUAACUACUGGAAACGGUAGAUAAUACCGCAUACCAUCAGAUGUGCCCAGAUGGGAUUAGCUGGUUGGUGGGGUAACGGCUCACCAAGGCGAAGAUCCCUAGCUGGUAUGAGAGGAUGCCCAGCCACGCUAGAACUGAGACACGGUCCAGACUCCUACGUGAGGCAGCAGUGGGGAAUAUUGCACAAUGGGCGCAAGCCUGAUGCAGCCAUGCCGCGUGUAUGAAGAAGGCCGUCGGGUUGUAAAGUACUUUCAGCGGGGAGGCUUUACCCGCAGAAGAAGCACCGGCUAACUCCGUGCCAGCAGCCGCGGUAAUAC